rnacentral:tRNA from 1 species
CAGGGAGACAACAACUGAUCGUGAUGUCUGAGUUAUUGAUACUUAGGCCAUGAUCCUGUCACCUUAGGUCGAUCGGUACCUCAAGUUGAGAAUCAAAGAAAAGCUGAUUAAUCAGCUUGGAGAUUGAUGAUUGAUUUUAGUUUCUAAACUUGUCUAGGUCACACCCCGCAAGGGUUACUCCUGGGCCAUUAGCUCAGGUGGUUAGAGCGCACCCCUGAUAAGGGUGAGGUCCCUGGUUCAAGUCCAGGAUGGCCCAUUCGGUGUUGGGGGUUUAGCUCAGUUGGUAGAGCGCCUGCUUUGCAAGCAGGAUGUCAGGAGUUCGAGUCUCCUAACCUCCACUGACCGAACUUGAUUCCCAUCUCCAAUUUUUUUGGAGUUGAGCUCGAUUGGAGUGUGAUUUAGAUGUGUCCGCUGGAUGACCCCAGCUUCCUGUCAUUCCAAAUGAAAUCAGCAAUGUUUGCUUGAUGAAUUUGGUUGAUAAGAUGCUGGGCUCGGAUCAAAUGAUCAAGCAAUUGGUGAUUUGAUUUGAAGUUCUAGCAGAACCUUGACAACUGCAUAGGUGAGUCUGGAAAAAACAAAGCAUCUUACAGAUGCAUUGUUUUGAAUCUGAUCUUCUGAAAGGGAGAUUGGAUCUAGAACAAUGAAAAUUCUUUUGAGCAAGAGCCGAGACUCUUGAGCGUUCUUUGAUUGGUGUCGAGCCAAUCAGAGUUUGAUCUUGUUUUUAGCAAUAAAAACUUGAGAAUCUGCUUUCAACGGCGGUAAGCGUUCAAGAGGUUAAUU